UACGUAGGUGGCAAGCGUUGUCCGGAAUUAUUGGGCGUAAAGCGCGCGCAGGCGGUCCUUUAAGUCUUAUGUGAAAGCCCACGGCUCAACCGUGGAGGGUCAUUGGAAACUGGGGGACUUGAGUACAGAAGAGAAGAGUGGAAUUCCACGUGUAGCGGUGAAAUGCGUAGAGAUGUGGAGGAACACCAGUGGCGAAGGCGACUCUUUGGUCUGUAACUGACGCUGAGGCGCGAAAGCGUGGGGAGCAAACAGG
rnacentral:rRNA from 1 species